UACGUAGGGGGCAAGCGUUGUCCGGAAUCAUUGGGCGUAAAGGGCCAGUAGGCGGCCAACUAAGUCCGACGUGAAAUCCCAAGGCUUAACCUUGGAACUGCGUCGGAUACUGGAUGGCUUGAAUUCGGGAGAGGGAUGCAGAAUUCCAGGUGUAGCGGUGAAAUGCGCAGAUAUCAGGAGGAACACCGGUGGCGAAGGCGGCUGCCUGGACCGGCCCUGACGCUGAGGCGCGAAAGCUAGGGGAGCAAACAGG
rnacentral:rRNA from 1 species